AUUGAACGCUGGCGGCAGGCCUAACACAUGCAAGUCGAACGAGUGGCGGACGGGUGAGUAAUGUCUGGGAAACUGCCUGAUGGAGGGGGAUAACUACUGGAAACGGUAGCUCAUACCGCAUACCAUCGGAUGUGCCCAGAUGGGAUUAGAUAGUAGGUGGGGUAACGGCUCACCUAGGCGACGAUCCAUAGCCGGUCUGAGAGGAUGACCAGCCACCCUGGAACUGAGACCCGGUCCAGACUCCUACGGGAGGCAGCAGUGGGGAAUAUUGCACAAUGGGCGCAAGCCUGAUGCAGCCAUGCCGCGUGUAUGAAGAAGGCCUUCGGGUUGUAAAGCACUGUCAGCGUGGAGGCGUUACCCGCAGAAGAAGCACCGGCUAACUCCGUGCCAGCAGCCGCGGUAAUUC
rnacentral:rRNA from 1 species